CCAGGACUGUCCAGAGGAGAAGCUCCCAGAGAACCAUCAGGAUGAAAAUAUGAUCGAUAUUAAGGUUGAGGUUAUAGAUGAAGAAGAAGAGGAGACGGAUUUAUGGGGCGAUCAUCAGUAUGCAAUCAGAGAAAGAAAUACUCCAGAGAGAUGUCCCCGUACCAGGACUGUCCAGGA